rnacentral:rRNA from 1 species
CCUACGGGUGGCUGCAGUGGGGAAUAUUGGACAAUGGGCGCAACCCUGACCCAGCGACGCCGCGUGAGUGAAGAAGGCUCUCGGGAUGUAAACUUCUUUUAGUCGGGACGAAACAGAUGACAGUACCGAAUGAAUAAGCCACGACUAACUACGUACCAGCCGCGGCGGUAAUACGUAGGUGGCAAGCGUUAUCCGGAUUUACUGGGUGUAAAGGGCGUGUAGGCGGGAGAGCAAGUCAGACGUGAAAUUCCAGGGCUCAACCCCGGAACUGCGUUUGAAACUGUGCUGCUGGAGUGAUGGAGAGGCAGGCGGAAUUCCGGGUGUAGCGGUGAAAUGCGUAGAUAUACGGAGGAACACCAGCGGCGAAGGCGGCCUGCUGGACAUUAACUGACGCUGAGGCGCGAAAGCGUGGGGAGCAAACAGGAUUAGAUACCCUGGUAGUC